GCAUUGGUGGUUCAGUGGUAGAAUUCUCGCCUGCCACGCGGGGAGGCCAGGGUUCGAUUCCCGGCCAAUGCA
rnacentral:tRNA from 1 species